GAUGUGAUUUUUUUUCAGGUGAUGUUUCUCGAGUGACGUAAAAUCUAGUGGACGAGACGGGAGGUUUCUUCAACAACCAUCUCGAAAAUGAGGUCUGCUGUCCGGAGAAAGAAACUCCAGGGCUGAACAUUUACGUGAAAGAAGAAGAAUUUACUGUAAAAGAAGAAGAAUUUACUGUAAAAGAAGAGGACGUGGAGGAAGCUAUCACAGUGAAAGAAGAACAGGACGUUACAGUGAGGGAAGAGGAAGAAGCUUUCAGAGUGAAAGAAGAGGAUGUUAGAGUGAAAGAAGAGGAAGAAGCUUUCAGAGUGAAAGAGGAGGGGGAUGAACAGAAAGAGGAGGGUGCCGUGUUUGUAGUGAAAGAGGAGGAGGAGGUGACUGUCACAUUGAAAGAAGAGGAGCAACUUUUUGAAAUUAAGGAAGAGGGGAGAUUACUGUCACAUUGGAGGAGGAGGAAGAAGACAAGACUGGAGCUCUGAUGAACACCAGAGAGAGACUAGACUUUCAUUCUGACAGCGGGAAGAGUCCUUCAGGGGAACCAGACCCAGAGACGUCUAAACCAGCAAGACGACACCACUGCUCCCAGUGUGGAAAGAGUUUUUCUAGGUUAGGAAGCCUGAAAUCACAUGAAAGAAUACACACAGGAGAAAAGCCUUACCACUGCACUCAAUGUGGAAAUAGAUUUACCUCUUUAGGGACCCUGAAAGAUCACGUAAGAAAACAUACAGGAGAGAAGCCCCACCAAUGCUCCCAGUGUGAAAAAGAGUUU